GCCUGGCUGGCUCAGUCAGUAGAGCAUGCAACUCUCGAUCUCAGGGCUGUGAGUUCAAGCCCCAUGUUGGGUG
rnacentral:tRNA from 1 species